GGUAAGGUGGCUGAGUUUAAGCGGUGGAUUGUAACCCCACAUACAGAGGUUUAAGUCCUCUUCUUAUCA
rnacentral:tRNA from 1 species